rnacentral:rRNA from 1 species
GAGUUUGAUCCUGGCUCAGAACGAACGCUGGCGGCGUGGAUAAGACAUGCAAGUCGAACGAUUGUCAUCGGGUAGCAAUAUUCGGUGGCGAGAGUGGCGCAAGGGUGCGUAACACGUGGGCAAUUUGCCGUGAAGUCUGGAAUAACUUGCUGAAAGGCGAGCUAAUACCGGAUGUGAUUGUUGGAGGGCAUCCUCUGACACUCAAAGUCGGGGACCGUAAGGCCUGACACUUCUCGAUAAGCCCGCGGCCUAUCAGCUAGUUGGUGAGGUAACGGCCCACCAAGGCUAAGACGGGUAGCUGGUCUGAGAGGACGACCAGCCACACUGGAACUGAGACACGGUCCAGACACCUACGGGUGGCAGCAGUCGAGAAUUUUUCACAAUGGGCGCAAGCCUGAUGGAGCGACGCCGCGUGGGGGAUGAAUGGCUUCGGCCCGUAAACCCCUGUCAUUUGCGAUCAAUGCUCACUUCCUAAUACGAAGUGAGUUGAUAGUAGCGAAAGAGGAAGGGACGGCUAACUCUGUGCCAGCAGCCGCGGUAAUACAGAGGUCCCAAGCGUUGUUCGGAUUCACUGGGCGUAAAGGGUGCGUAGGCGGUCAGAUAAGUCUGACGUGAAAUACUGGAGCUUAACUCCGGAACGGCGUCAGAAACUAUUUGGCUAGAGGAUUGGAGGGGGGACUGGAAUUCUCGGUGUAGCAGUGAAAUGCGUAGAUAUCGAGAGGAACACCCGUGGCGAAGGCGAGUCCCUGGACAAUUCCUGACGCUGAGGCACGAAAGCUAGGGGAGCAAACAGGAUUAGAUACCCUGGUAGUCCUAGCCUUAAACGGUGCACGUUUGCUGUGAGAGGAAUCGACCCCUCUCGUGGCGAAGCUAACGCGAUAAACGUGCCGCCUGGGAAGUACGGCCGCAAGGUUAAAACUCAAAGAAAUUGACGGGGGCCUGCA